rnacentral:lncRNA from 1 species
UACAUCACUCCUUGAGUGCGUUACUCCCUUUCAAGACUUCCUCCAUAAAUUUCCAGACAAAUUAAAGAGUUUGGAAGAGCGAAUGAGGGAAGUGGCAAAUGAAGCAGAAGAUAUCUUAGAAUAUCUUGUGUUGGAAAAGGUUUUCUUGUCUUCUGAUGAAGAGUCUGAAUUCCACGAUGAACUCGACGAUGAAUUCCACGAUGUAUUCAA